rnacentral:antisense_RNA from 1 species
CUUCACCGACCCCAACCACAACGGCUCCGCACGCUCCGCGCCAUACGUCGCCAACAACGCCUGCGCCUC